rnacentral:lncRNA from 1 species
CUUCACCCCCACCAUAUUCACAUAGGGAAUGAGCCACCAUGUCAAUUUCAAACCUCAGAUGCAAAGCUAAGUAUCUCGCAACUUUUCCUCCACGAUUUCGUUCACCCUUCAUCAUUGACUUUGAAAAGGGGCCCACUAGGUGACGAUCCAAGGGUCUCACCUUUCAUCAUUGACUUUGAAAAGGGGCCCACUAGGUGACGAUCCAAGGGUCCCAAGCGUGUAACAUUCUGACGCAUUCUUCGAAUAAGUAAAGCUCCGGUUUCUUGUAUCUUUGGAACAAAUUUCAGAGCAUGAAAAUUACAUCUGCAUCGAAGUCUCUAGAUGAAGUCCCCAAAUUAGGAACCAAAGUAGAAAUUAUGGAAUCAGACAAGAUAAAAAAAGAUAACAUAAAUAACUAAUAGAUCAACAAGGAACCCUAAUAUCAAGUUUGACAGGUUUACCUGCACUUGAAAGGGUAAC